UGUGUCAGUGAUGUUAUCUGAAACAAUAUUUUGAGUUUUAAAUGGCCAUGAAAAUACUUAACAUGCACUACCAUCUGAGACACA